GUGGGGAAUAUUGCACAAUGGGGGAAACCCUGAUGCAGCGAUGCCGCGUGGAGGAAGAAGGUUUUCGGAUUGUAAACUCCUGUCUUAAAGGACGAUAAUGACGGUACUUUAGGAGGAAGCUCCGGCUAACUACGUGCCAGCAGCCGCGGUAAUACGUAGGGAGCGAGCGUUGUCCGGAAUUACUGGGUGUAAAGGGAGCGUAGGCGGGACUGCAAGUCAGAUGUGAAAUGCCGGGGCUUAACCCCGGAGCUGCAUUUGAAACUGUGGUUCUUGAGUGAAGUAGAGGCAAGCGGAAUUCCUGGUGUAGCGGUGAAAUGCGUAGAUAUCAGGAGGAACACCGGUGGCGAAGGCGGCUUGCUGGGCUUUUACUGACGCUGAGGCUCGAAAGCGUGGGUAGCAAACAGG
rnacentral:rRNA from 1 species